rnacentral:rRNA from 1 species
CUUUACUGUAGCCUGGUAUUGGGUUCGGGCUUUGACUGCGCAGGAUAGGUGGGAGACUAUGAAGCUGCCCUUGUGGGGGCAGUGGAGUCAUCAGUGAGAUACCACUCUGUCAAGGCUAGAAUUCUAACCGUCUGCCGUUAUCCAGCGACGGAACAGUAUCAGGUGGGCAGUUUGACUGGGGCGGUCGCCUCCUAAAUGGUAACGGAGGCGCGCAAAGGUUCCCUCAGGCUGGUUGGAAAUCAGCCGAAGAGUGUAAAGGCAGAAGGGAGCUUGACUGCAAGAGCAACAACGCAAGCAGGGACGAAAGUCGGCCUUAGUGAUCCGACGGCGCUGAGUGGAAGGGCCGUCGCUCAUCGGAUAAAAGUUA